UAGAGCAGAAUCGAUUUCAAUAUCGAUUUGGAAGAUACGAUUCAACCUUCUUCAGCUCGGUGAUUUCGAUUUCGAAGUUCUCUCUCUCUCUCUCGAUUUCGAAGCUCCACCACCACCACCACCACCACCACCAUCUACAUCGCCUACUAAGGGUUUACAAUCUUGAAUCUCCUCCUAGGGUUUGGAUUAUGGUCGUGAUGGAAAAAUAUUUUCAAUUAUUAUCUGUUGCAAUAGAUUCCUUUCCAAACAACACUUGGAAUGAUGAUGGAAAUCUUUUGCCUGAAGCUAGAAGCAUGCUGGAUGAUCUGAAUCAGCUUUUUAUUGCACUGGAUGUGAGCCUCAGUGGGCGAGAACUUGAGGAGGACAAUGACAAUAUCUCAGCAAUCAGUGAACUCUUAAAGAGGUUGCAGUUAAGAAGAGCAAGAUACUGGACAGGAGGAAGCAUGGGCUGAACUAUCUAGAUAAAGCUCCUCUAUUGGCCUUGUAUUUUGUGACAAAACAGACUGUUAUCAGAUUAUUGGUUAAAGAUCUCGAUAACAUAAGUUGUGGCAGCAACCAAGUCAUACCCAGGACUGUUGGCGGCAAUGCCAGUUGUGGACUUGGGAGGGUGAUUUUGCAACUCAGGCUAGCUGAGAAAAUGAGCUGGACAGCGACCAUGAAUCCAGGCUUUUGAGGCCUCUUUAAUGCAAGAGCAAUGUAAAUCAAUCAAAAGGAGGAGGACAUUUCUAGAGCAAUCUUGAUAUGGAGAGCAAUCAAAUUACCAAUUUACUCUGCUGCCUUGGUUCCUCUCACUAAUUCGGUUUCUACAAAAACAGGUUGGAAGUGCAGCUGCUUAUUUGCAGACCGGCCUGUACUCUGCUAGACGUUAUUGUGUUAUUGGCUUCCUCGGUUCUUAUAAUCACUUGUCUAAAUUUAAGGUGUGAUACUAAGACACCUUGAUGGUAUAUGGAAUUCAGUUUAAUAUGACUCGAAAAUACGCAAGACAACUGUAAACAUCUUCAUACUAGAACUAUCUUUCACUCCUUUGUUUUCUGUGUAAAAUGGGCAGCAACGACGUUUAUGAUUUUGAUACUAGAGCAGAUAAGACUAAGAAAGAGUUAAGGCUCCCAACAAGUUUUCACUCUUCUAUGUAUGGGAUAUCCUUCUUGUUAUGCUUUGUUUUGAUUUACAAAAUUAUCAUUCAACUAACUGUGCCACAUGAUCUUUAGUGUUCUUUGGAGUGCAUCAUACUUACCCGUCCCAUGAUUCUAAAUCUAAUCAUAGCUUUGUUUCAGUUUCUCUAUGCCCUAACCUUGCCCGUUGGAAAACUAGUCAUCAACUAUGUUGAGCAGAACCACAAGGACAAAAUGAAGAUCAUUAUGGCGAAGUAUUACUGUGUGAGAUUGCAUGCUUUAUUCGGUGCUGUUUUGGCAGCUGGACUGGUAGCAGCUAGAACCAUCGCUGGAAAAUAUGUUGACAAGAUGGUUUUUCUCUGAUUUUCCACUCCAUAGAUUUCAAAAUUUUCCUGGCAUUUUCCAUUACUUUCUUUGGUGAAUGGGGUGACAAGAGUCAGCUACCAUCGGCUUGGCCGCAGAUGAGAACCCACUUGGUGUUGUCCUUGGUGGAAUCUUAGGACAAGCAUUUUGCACUACUGCUGCUGUCCUGGAAGAAAAGAGCUUGGCAUCUCAGAUAUCUGAAAAAAUUAUAAUUAACAAAAUUUUCAUUUUUGUUGUAUCACAUUCGAUUGUUAAAUUAGCUGUAACCAUGUAGUCUUGAUUCCGAUGCAGGUUGCACUCUCAGGUUGCACUUUCUCUACUCUUUAGAAUUUGAUAAGAUAGUAUUGUCUUGAAUCAUGUAAUUUGAGAAGUGACAGAAUGGUGUUUUUGAAUAGUUGGAUUUCAGAUGAAGUUGAUCUUUGCUUAUCAAAAAGACAAAAAGAAGAGAUUGAAAGACAUUAGAUUUGAAAAAUUAAAUCUCACAGAAAUAGCACAAUUUCAACAACCCAAAAAAAAAAAAAAACUACAGCGGUGUUUUCAAACGCCACUAUAAUAUAGUGUAAACAAUAUAGUGUAAACGGUUAUAUUUUUAAAUAGAAAAGAGCUAUAACGGCGUUUUUAUAACGUUGCUAGAUGCGGAGGGACGUCAUUGUAGUGUUAUGUAGCACAUUUAGCGGCGUUUUAACAAGCGCCGCCUAUACUUAUAUAGCAAUGUUUUUAAAGCGCCAUAAAGCUAUAGCGACGGCCACAUUUUUGGCGUUUGGUACUAAACGUCACAAAAAGAAUUAGCGGCGUUUUUGAUAGCUAUGGAGGCGUUUUUUAAACGUCUUUAAAAGUAUAAUUUUCAGCUGUGUAUGAAGUCAAAUGAUGUUUGUGGUGAAGCGAAUAAAGUUUCUCCUCCUAAAGCUGGUAGAAGUAUACUUGAUCUCUCUAGCUUGAGGAUUUCUAGGUAAUAUGUUAAUUUUGCGUCUUCUGUUUUUGCCUCUUUAUCUGUGGUAAAUGGGUAAUAUUGUCACUGAUUUUUUGAAAAUCACUUCUCCUAUCAAAGGACCAUAGGAGCAAACAAAUAUCCAUCACAAUCUUCAAUUCAGAAAGAAAUUAAAUCCUUAAGAAACCCAGAGCAAAGCAUGUUCCAUGAUGGAACUACAAGGAAGCACAGCAUCCAAGAUGGCCCAUUCUGUUUGCACAGAGAAGCAAACCCCAUCCACCCCAUGUCUGAAGCGGAAAAAGUUGUUAUUCUUUCUCUUUCUCUUUUAUUUUAUUUUUAAUUUAAAUUUUUUUGUGUUCUUUCCCAAAUGAAGAGAAAUUUGAGCAUUACAGAGAAAUUUGGGGCAGUAUAACACAUAUGAUAUUAUGUCAGAAUUAUAUUGAUACCUUAUCAAUGUUAUAACUUUAUAUGAUGCAGGGAUUAAAUGCAGAUAUGCUGACCUUAAAUCCAUCAAAACGUCUUGCACCAUCAACUACCGAAAGCUGGCCCUAUCCUAUCAUAUUAUUGUCUAUUUAUCUGGUCAAAUUUAAAAUUUUUAGGUUGUUUCCUCUAUUUACACAUGUUUUUCUCUGGAAUUUAAAAGUGUUCGAGGAAGUUCAGAAAAAGUUGUUGUCAAAGAGGUAGAUUUCAUCCUUUUAUUUUAAUUUUUUAGGCAUGUUAAUGUAAGAGGGUUAAAUAAGGAUUUGUUGAAACAUUGAAACAACUGAAGUCUGAUAAUCAGGGAAUUAUAACUGAUGUCCAAUGAUUUUUUAUUAAUGACUAGGUUUGCGGCCAUGCGAAUCGCAAAACCUUUACUCUGGAUAUUCCUCAGGAGGUGAACAUGACAACUAGAAAUCCCUUUUGUAAUGGAAAAUUAUGUCACUGUUGAAAAGGCCGAAGCAUAUACAAAGGAGCUUGAAGAUAUUUGCAACAUGCUGAGAAAGAAACACGAGGAGGCAAAGGAAAUAUUAGUUCGAGGUCUUGUGAACAACAAUAAUCUGCUGAUGCUCAACCAUCCGAUUUAUGAAGAGAAAAUAUCCUUCCGACUGUUUUCGCUAUUACAUUUUCCUUCUUUUCUUUGGGGGGCAUAAUUUGUGACAUAAAACUAUAGCUGUUUGCUCCUUUACCACUGAAAUCAUCCGUGAAGUUCAGAAAUUUGCUGCUCAGCUAAUGUCCACACAGACAUGAGGAUCAUUUUGCAAUUCUCCAAGGUAAGUUCUCUUUCGAAUGCCUGAUUUUGUAUUUCACUAUAUCCAUUUGGUUUCAGUUGAUUGCCAUGCUACAUUGGUUCCAGAGACAACUAUUUGUAAUGUGGUAUCUCAUGUAUCGGGACUCUUUAAUGCUCGAAACUACUGCUGAUUUUUGUAUG